ensembl:lncRNA
CCUAGGGACAUCAGGGUGACACCAGGGCAGAAAGAGACAGGAAGCUGAUUUGCAUGAGCAACUUCUCCUCCUUAUGGACCUGGGAGGCAUGAAAAGGCCCCAAGGACACCACACUCCAGCCCAGGAGCCUGAGGAGGCGACGUCCUGUGAGUGUCCCCACCAUGGCCUGGAUGGUGCUUCUUCUCGGGCUCCUUGCUUACAGCUCAGGGGCGGAUUCUCAGUCUGUGGUGACCCAGGAGCCAUCACUCUCAGUGUCUUCAGGAGGGACAGUCACACUCACCUGUGGCCUUAACUCUGGGUGCCAUCAAGUCCCCCCCUCACCAGCCUGGAGGGAGGAGGACACAGGAUGAAGAAGCAAGAGCAGCGAAUGCAGAUCUGGACACAGAACAGCAUGAGAAUGGUCAGUGCUGCCGCCAGCUCCAGGUCCCCUGAACCACCACUGAGCUCUCACGUCAGCCAGAGUCAGGGGUGGACUGAGGGGAAGCUGAGGGAGACACCAGGGCUUCCUGUGGUCAGCUGCACACAGGGCGUUGGACACGGUGGAGACAGCACUGAAGGAGCCUCUUUGAAUGGAGAGACGCCUGAGGAGUCGCUGUGGUCGUGUCCGGAGGCCCCCAGCUGAGACGGCGCCAGGGUUCCUGCUGGACUUCAUCUCCUGCCUUGUCAGUCAUUAAAGGUUUCACCUCUGCUGCUACCGUCACCAUCAGCUUCGGGCAGAUCCAGUUUAUCCUGAAGGCAUCUGUCACUUCUGGAACCCACUCCAACCACAAGGAGGAGAGUCACUCCAAUGCCUGUGAAAAGGAAUCUUCACGAGUCUUUAGGUAAACGGAAUCUGGUCCAUGAAGAGCAGACCCAGGGUUGUCCAUCCCAGAGGGACCAGGGACAGCUGCUUCAGCUCAGAGGGCUGAGGGCGGCACGUUUCCUCCAGGAGGAAGCAUCUGCCAGUGACAUACUUUGUCAGCUAAGAGCAAGGGAAGAGUCCCUCCUUCUGAAUAUCACCAUGUUGCAUUUUUAGGUGCAUUUUAAAGGGAUGCAAAUGUACUGCAUACAAUUGUUUUUAAAUAUUAAACAUGCGGAGAUUUUGGAGAGGAUUAUUCCCCCACACAGAAUCCGGUGAAUCACUCCAGCGUGCUGAUUCAUCCUCCCAGACACCCAGCACUCUGUCCUAUGUGCCCAUCCAGUGAGGAGUCAGGUACUUCUUGACAACGAGAAUUUGUAUUGGGAAGUGUGGUUUUUGCCACUCACCUGAGAGGUUUAUAUUCCAGGAUGGAGACCCAUUAACAGGUGCACUCACAGCAGAAAUACCAUCCGCAGCUCCCCUGUUUCCUUGAUCCUCAUUUGACGUUUGUGAGCUGCUCACACAAAACAUAACAUUGACUGUUUCGCUGGAGAUACAAGACCUUGACCUGACCCGCAGGGUCACAGGUGCAUGCGAUUCACCUGGACUUCACCCAGCUCUAUCACCUUCAUGUGCACAGAGGACUCAGGGUGAAGGUGCCUCUCUGUGUGUGAAAUAAAUAAAGAACAUUUUCACACACAGAAAGAUGGGAGUGGCCGGGCUUGCUCUGCUCCUGAGGCCUUGAAUGAGGCAUCGUCUGCCUUCCGCACAGUGCUGUGUUUCAUGUGCAGGAGAGAACGCUCUGGUGGAAUUGCUCCCUCUGGUCGGGAUAUGUGGGGACAUGUGGGACAGGGGAUGACCCUCUGCUCUGAAUGACUGUCAUGGCCCCAAGUCUGGGAAACCCCACCAGGGUGAAUGAAGAUGGUGAGGAUGACAGGGAGAGGCCCUGUGGGGCUUGUCAGGGGUCCACUUCAGGCUCCACUGUCUGCAGGACGAGACCCUGGGUGUGUCACUGACCACUCAGAAGAGGCCAGCAUGUUACAGUAAAUUCAAAGUCAGUAUUUGCUCUUUCAUACAGCAGUGUUACAAUUAAUGCCCACUUUGUGUGUACAUUAUUAUAAGGCAAAGAAGCAAGAGUUGUAUAGAAAUUCGUGAGUCAUUAAAAAUCGUAUCUGGAGAACUGCAUUAUUAUUGAAACUUGAGCUGUUAAGUCCACUCCAGUUGAUGUAUUUGAUUCAUGGUGUAACCUCAAGAAGCUGAGUGCCUUGUUCCUUCACACCUAAGCAGAGGAAGGACUCAAUUCCCCUGAAUCAGUGUUCAAACUCAGUCAUCAUCGGGAACGCUUCUCCAGGCUCUCUAAUGAGUCUCGUUUGCCUCAGAUUGUCAGAUCUGAGGUACAGAAUCUCCAUGUAUUUCCUUUGAUCCUGGAAAUCUGGCUCAAUUCAAAGAUGAUAAUUUUCUCUUAUCAAGUUGGAAAGAUUAGACAUUUAAAGAAAAUGCAAUAGUUCAACUUAGAACUGCUGCUUUGGGGGCUGUAAAUAGCUACAGCCAAUAAGAAAAAAAGUGAUUGGGCUCAUAAUCUUGUGUUAUGUUCAGCAUUUCUCUUGUCAGAGUUUGUAUAACUAAACAUCCAUGCAAGUGGUUCAAAUUUUAGGUUUGGAUGUUUCCAUGUAAAUUAUGUUUAAUAAAGUAACGUUCGCUAAUUUCACCAUGGUCAGACAUCUGCAGGACGUGAUAUGUGAGCCUGGUCCUGAAGGAGGAGGGCAAGAAGAGGGACAAGAGGACCAGAAGGGGCCACUAUGAUCCAAGUAUCCUCCUUGAAAAGGAGACCUGCUACGGGUUUUGCAUAGGCUGCUGGAGAGAGAGGGGAGGCAGGAGGCUGGGGAAGGAGUGAUGGCCACACAUAGACCGAAAGGGUGAAGAUAAAUAUUCUGACUUCAUCUUGAUGGAGAGAAUCUCUGAGAGACUCUCAGCACAGAACCCAGAACACAACCUUACACAAAGGACAGAUUCAAUACCAGCAUGUUGAAUGGAUAUGUCAGUUCUCCUAAAGUGGAAGCCCAGAAAGAAGAGUAAAUAUGAGGCAAAGAUAGCGACAUCUGCUCUGGGGACAUUUAGUGUUUGGAGUUCCGAGUUGACUAAUGAGGAGAUUUUAAAUAAGAACCGGACCUCGGUAUGGAGAACAGGAGACAGACCUUAACUUCAGCCUUGGGGAGAGUGACCAGCACAACGGGCUGGGCUCCGUGUGCUCCUUUGGAGACAGUGGAAAAAGACAUGAUGAGCCAGCAGGUGCUGAAUAAAGAAACCACAGGAGCAGGUAGAUCAUGGAGCAGAUUCUGAGCUCCGAAGACAAGCUUCGUGAGCAAAGAAGCUGCAGAGGACAGGUUAGAUCUACGAACAUCUGCUAAUGUUUCACUUAAAUAAGUACCUGUAAGAGAGCCAUUUGCCGGAAAAUGUUAAA